AAAAUUUUAAGUUAAAUUAAACUUUUAAUUUUCAAAAUUAACUAUAUAAAAUAUAAUUAUAAAUUUUA
rnacentral:tRNA from 1 species